rnacentral:rRNA from 1 species
AUUGAACGCUGGCGGAAUGCUUUACACAUGCAAGUCGAACGGCAGCACGGGGGCAGCCCUGGUGGCGAGUGGCGAACGGGUGAGUAAUACAUCGGAACGUGCCCGGUCGUGGGGGAUAACGUAGCGAAAGUUACGCUAAUACCGCAUACGAUCUGAGGAUGAAAGCGGGGGACCUUCGGGCCUCGCGCGAUCGGAGCGGCCGAUGUCAGAUUAGGUAGUUGGUGGGGUAAAGACCUACCAAGCCGACGAUCUGUAGCUGGUCUGAGAGGACGACCAGCCACACUGGGACUGAGACACGGCCCAGACUCCUACGGGAGGCAGCAGUGGGGAAUUUUGGACAAUGGGCGCAAGCCUGAUCCAGCCAUUCCGCGUGCAGGACGAAGGCCUUCGGGUUGUAAACUGCUUUUGUACGGAACGAAAAGGCUCUGGCUAAUACCUGGGGCUCAUGACGGUACCGUAAGAAUAAGCACCGGCUAACUACGU